rnacentral:rRNA from 1 species
AUUGAACGCUGGCGGCAUGCCUUACACAUGCAAGUCGAACGGCAGCACGGGUGCUUGCACCUGGUGGCGAGUGGCGAACGGGUGAGUAAUAUAUCGGAACGUACCUUAUUGUGGGGGAUAACGCAGCGAAAGCUGUGCUAAUACCGCAUAAUCCCUAAGGGGAAAAGCGGGGGACCGUAAGGCCUCGCGCAAUUAGAGCGGCCGAUACCUGAUUAGCUAGUUGGUGAGGUAAAGGGUCAACAAGGCAACGACCAGUAGCUGGUCUGAGAGGACGAUAAGCCACACUGGGACUGAGACACGGCCCAGACUCCUACGGGAGGCAGCAGUGGGGAAUUUUGGACAAUGGGGGCAACCCUGAUCCAGCAAUGCCGCGUGAGUGAAGAAGGCCUUCGGGUUGUAAAGCUCUUUUGUCAGGGAAGAAACAGCAGCUCUAACACAGUUUGCGAAUGACGGUACCUGAAGAAUAAGCACCGGCUAACUACGUGCCAGCCGCCGCCGUAA